rnacentral:lncRNA from 1 species
CCCAAGUCAUCUAUAGUGUUCAACUUCUGAUAUACAUUUUAAAAUAUAGUAAUCUACUAGUACCCCAAAAUCGUCCGCGAAAACGGCUAAUAUAAUCCCGGGUUUUUAUUGAUUCGAUGAAACAGUUUUCGUCGCUGUUUGGGAUUCGUCUUUCAAUUACUUCCAUUUCAUACACAAGUUUAUAUUGACGAAAAGUUCCGGCUUCGCUACUACAUGAAUUACUUUCAUCACGACAGUUAUAACAUGAAUAGCAGGACAAAUCGCGAAGUAAAACAUUCCGUGAACUGGUUUUAAGUCUUUUAAUAUUGGUGAUUGCACCUUACUGAAGUGACGACUUUAAAUGGUCUAUUUCGGAGUACUUCCGCACCAUAAAUUUCAAUUCGCAUUUUACAUUUAGAGGACUGUUUUGGUGUCUCCAAUUUGUCUUUGCAAAAGUUGGACGAAGUUCAUGUAAUGAGACAUUUCCC